rnacentral:ncRNA from 1 species
UGUUAUAGAAGGCAAACUCAUCUGAAAAGGGAGGACGCAAAGCCACGGGCCUACAUGCAAAAUAUUAUUUGUAUAUUGGCAGCCGGGUUACCUGU